UACGUAGGGAGCAAGCGUUGUUCGGAUUUACUGGGCGUAAAGCGCGCGUAGGCGGACCUGCAAGUCGGGGGUGAAAGCCCGAGGCUCAACCUCGGAACUGCCUUCGAUACUGCGGGUCUCGAGUCCGGGAGAGGUGAGUGGAAUUCCUAGUGUAGAGGUGAAAUUCGUAGAUAUUAGGAAGAACACCAGUGGCGAAGGCGGCUCACUGGCCCGGUACUGACGCUGAGGCGCGAAAGCGUGGGGAGCAAACAGG
rnacentral:rRNA from 1 species